AAAAUCAAAAUAUUUCUUCAAAACUCUCUACCUCAGAUAUUUCAUGUUGGAUUCACCAGUUGUCAUAUAGCAUGAUUUCCAAUCUAGAAAUACACUAGAUACCUAACUGUAGAAAAUUUAACUUUGGCUUAUAUAUGAUGUCUUAUCUCCCAAAAUUUCUUUAGCUUAGAAAAAAUCUUAUAUUAUAUUAAAAUCCUUCAAAAUAUUUUCUUUUCGCAAAGGAUGUUUUUACCUUGAACUUUGAAAAUUUAUAUUUCUUGAUCCAAUUGUUCAAUUUUUUUUGAAUUUUUAUUUAAUAUAGAUUCUAUUCUUAAGCUUUACCACAAAACAAAUGAACUAUAAAUCUAUAACCGAUCUUUUGACAUCUUUGAAAUCCUAGUAAAUACUUUAAAUCCUAAUC
rnacentral:lncRNA from 1 species